AGUCUACCUGCCCACUGAAUUUAUUUAAAUGGCCGCAGUAUCCUAACUGUGCAAAGGUAGCAUAAUCAUUAGUCUUUUAAUUGAAGGCUGGUAUGAAUGGUUGGACGAGAUAUUAACUGUUUCAUGAAAAUUUAUAAUAGAAUUUUAUUUUUUAGUCAAAAAGCUAAAAUAAAAUUAAAAGACGAGAAGACCCUAUAAAUCUUUAUAUAUAAAUUAUUAGAAUUUUGUAGAUUUUUUUUAUUAUAAUAGUUGAUUAUAUUUUAUUGGGGUGAUAUUAAAAUUUAAUAAACUUUUAAUUGUUUAAAUCAUUAAUUUAUGAAUAAUUGAUCCGUUAAUAACGAUUAAAAAAAUAAGUUACUUUAGGGAUAACAGCGUAAUUUUUUUGGAGAGUUCAUAUCGAUAAAAAAGAUUGCGACCUCGAUGUUGGAUUAAGAUAUAAUUUUAGGUGUAGCCGCUUAAAUUUUAAGUCUGUUCGACUUUUAAAUUCUUA
rnacentral:rRNA from 1 species